ncrna:unclassified sequences pemK RNA
UUAAUGAUACUUCCGUAAUUCGCGGCCCGGCCAUAAAGAAGGCGGGGAGGUGAGAUUCCUAUGG